ACGGAAGGCAGCAGUGGGGGAUAUUGCACAAUGGGGGAAACCCUGAUGCAGCGACGCCGCGUGAGCGAAGAAGUAUUUCGGUAUGUAAAGCUCUAUCAGCAGGGAAGAAAAUGACGGUACCUGACUAAGAAGCUCCGGCUAAAUACGUGCCAGCAGCCGCGGUAAUACGUAUGGAGCAAGCGUUAUCCGGAUUUACUGGGUGUAAAGGGAGCGUAGACGGUUUGCCAAGUCUGAUGUGAAAGGUGGGGGCUCAACCCCCAAACUGCAUUGGAAACUGGUAGACUAGAGUGGCGGAGAGGUAAGUGGAAUUCCUAGUGUAGCGGUGAAAUGCGUAGAUAUUAGGAGGAACACCAGUGGCGAAGGCGGCUUACUGGACGAUAACUGACGUUGAGGCUCGAAAGCGUGGGGAGCAAACAGGAUUAGAUACCCUGGUA
rnacentral:rRNA from 1 species